rnacentral:rRNA from 1 species
UACCAGCUCUCCGAGUGGUAGGGAUGUUUAUUGGGCUUAAAGCGUCCGUAGCCGGCUUAGCAAGUCUCCUGUUAAAUUCAGCGACCUAAUCGUUGAGCCGCGGGAGAUACUACUAGGCUAGGAGGCGGGAGAGGUCAACGGUACUUCCGGGGUAGGGGUGAAAUCCUAUAAUCCCGGGAGGACCACCAGUGGCGAAGGCUGUUGACUAGAACGCGCUCGACGGUGAGGGACGAAAGCUGGGGGAGCGAACCGGAUUAGAUACCCGGGUAGUCCCAGCUGUAAACGAUGCGAGCUAGGUGUUGGGGUGGCUACGUGCCACUUCAGUGCCGCAGGGAAGCCAUUAAGCUCGCCGCCUGGGGAGUACGGCCGCAAGGCUGAAACUUAAAGGAGUUGGCGGGGGAGCACCACAAGACGUGAAGCUUGCGGUUC